rfam:Candidatus Nomurabacteria bacterium RIFCSPHIGHO2_02_FTLL_41_18 rifcsphigho2_02_scaffold_2433, whole genome shotgun sequence.
GUCAAGUCAAGGGAGCCGGGAGUACCCGAAGUAUCCACAUAAGUGGGUCCUAAGGUAAGCUCGGUGACAGGGACUAAGUCGUAACAAGGCACGGCUAGCGGAAGCUGGUCGUGGAAUAAUUCAAUU